GACGAACGCUGGCGGCGUGCUUAACACAUGCAAGUCGUACGGUAAGGCCCUUUCGGGGGUACACGAGUGGCGAACGGGUGAGUAACACGUGAGUAACCUGCCCACAACUUUUGGAUAACGCUAGGAAACUGGUGCUAAUACUGGAUAUGUGCUCCUGCUGCAUGGUGGGGGUUGGAAAGCUCCGGCGGUUGUGGAUGGACUCGCGGACUAUCAGCUUGUUGGUGGGGUAGUGGCCUACCAAGGCGGCGACGGGUAGCCGGCCUGAGAGGGUGACCGGCCACAUUGGGACUGAGAUACGGCCCAGACUCCUACGGGAGGCAGCAGUGGGGAAUAUUGCAAAAUGGGCGCAAGCCUGAUGCAGCAACGCCGCGAGCGGGAGGAAGGCCUUCGGGUUGUAAACCGCUUUCAGCAGGGACGAAGCUUUUUGUGACGGUACCUGCAGAAGAAGCACCGGCUAACUACGUG
rnacentral:rRNA from 1 species